rnacentral:rRNA from 1 species
AGGACGAACGCUGGCGGCGUGCUUAACACAUGCAAGUCGAGCGAGGUCCAACUGGUGGCAACACCAGGGAAGACCGAGCGGCGAACGGGUGAGUAACACGUGAGCAACCUGUCCCGAAGACCGGGAUAACACCGGGAAACCGGUGCUAAUACCGGAUGUCCCCACCAGAUCACAUGGUUCGGUGAGGAAAUGGAUUCCGCUUCGGGAGGGCUCGCGGGCUAUCAGCUUGUUGGUGGGGUAACGGCCCACCAAGGCUACGACGGCUAGCUGGUCUGAGAGGACGACCAGCCACACUGGGACUGAGACACGGCCCAGACUCCUACGGGAGGCAGCAGUGGGGAAUCUUGCGCAAUGGGCGAAAGCCUGACGCAGCAACGCCGCGUGGGGAUGAAGGCUCUCGGGUUGUAAACCCUUUCAGCAGGGACGAAAUUGACGGUACCUGCAGAAGAACGCCCGGCCAACUACGUGCCAGCAGCCGC